rnacentral:rRNA from 1 species
AUGGCCGAAGAUUUCUUCAACGGCAACAGGCCCAUGGUUACCAAGGAUGGGAAAGACCUGACUUCUGCACUCGAGGUGUUCGUGAACUGGUGUAUCACAGAGGUGCAAAACAAGAUCCAGAGAAGUUUUCAUCCGUCUUCGAGUAACAGGCCCCUCAAGAAGGUAGUGGUUACUAUUCAGAGUUUGCUGGCUACGCGCCCGGAUCCUGUUCUGAUUGGGUCACUUUUUGCUGGUUCAACGGAGGAGCUGGAGGUGUUAAUCAAGAUAUUAUCAGUUCAGCUGGACAUGGUGCUGUUUUAUACCAUGGGAGCAGCUGGGGAUAUGUACUUCGUCUGGCGGGAUCUCCCCAUCGAUCCCAAGCUCUUUCGCGAGAAUAUGCAUCAAAGUUUGGAUAGGGCUCGACAAUCGGCUCAGAAUAUCAAGGGGGCUGUGGAUCUUAUGACCAGGAUUGAGUCUUUUCUUGUUGCAGCACCAGGCAUGUUGAGGGGAGCGUGGACCAAACUGUUGCAUCCAUUCAGUGGCAAAUCGCUUAUCAUUUUCGAUGAAAAAAAAGGAAUGCAAUAUUCAAUUACUUUACUGUGUUUUGGAGAUAUAAUUUAA